UUAAAAAGAGAGAGAAAGAAAGAAAGAAAGAAAGAAAGAAAGAAAGAAAGAAAGAAAGAAAAAAAAAUUUGAAAUGACCACUUUAAUCAAUUUCUUUUGAAUGUAAAGUAUCUUAGCUGGGUUUCUAAUUCACAGUGGGAAGCAAAAGCAAGCACACUAUGAUGAUGCCUUCCAUUAUGUAUGGUUGAUUGAUAGAAGACUAUUGUAAUCUUAAUCAGACAAACUGAUGACCAGAAUGGUUUUUCAGCGGAAUAUUGAAGAGCCUGACUUAUUUUUUUGCUAGCAUGAAAAUCCAACCUACCUAAAAGGGAACUGUGCUGGAAUGCCUUGGUUAGAGCUGAAGCUUUUUUCAAAAAAAGCAACUGUACUUAAAUAAGCACUUACUUGAAAUUAUAGAAUUACUCACCAUAACCUUGGAAGACUUUGGCCUGGAAUAUUUUGGGGGCCUGAUUUUAAUGUGGCUACUGGACCAUUUUUAAUAUUUAAUUGAAAAAAAUUGUGCAAUUUAGUAGGAGAAACUGGAGUAGGGUUUGAGAGGGUAGACAGCAGGCUGAAGAUGCUACAGCUUUGGGAAACAAGGGAGCUCCCCCCCUGUGAUAAUAUAUAAAUGACACAUUGGUUCCCUCCUAUAGCUUCUAUGUGGCUUCUUUUGCCUCACCACUCAGAGAAAAAUAUAAAGAAUUUAGAGGAAGGGAUGGGGUGAGGAGCACAGAAAUAGCAAUCUCAAUCUGUGACUAGUACAUUUACAAUUUUUCUUAGGAUUUUGCCUGCUCCCUAAUAUCACAGGAAGGUCACUUGACAGAGUCACUUUGAGAAGUUAAGACGGAUGAUACUGUGAACAACUAAGGGUGUUAAUCAACCACAGUUAUAGGGUUGCUUAUGAAUAGGUACUUCAGUGAUACUCAUUUAUUCAUUCAUUAUUUCACCUGUUGCUCAUUAGUCAGUCAACAUAUGUUAAAUGUGCUAGACAAUGGGGGCAUACUAGUGUACAAGGUAGACAUCGUCUUUGACCUCUUAAAAUUAUAUUCUUCUAAGGCAGAAGGAAAUAGAAGAAGAUGAAUGAAAAGGUUAUUCAGCUGGAUGAUAAUUUACUGCUAUCGUCUGCGUUCUGAACAUUAAUCAUUUUUUUCUGCAGUGCUUUUAGCAAAUCAAAAAUGGCAUCCGGUUCCUCUCUUGGUAAAUGAGAAAAGGAAUCUAAGGUGCUUGCCUUAGGUGUUUGCUGAUACUCAAGAACCUCUUCUAUGAAUAUAGCUAGAAUAUAAGAUCCAUUAGGAUAUGAGAUACAUGAGGACAAGGACUUUAUUUUGUUGACUACUUUUGCCCAGUUUGAAAAGUGUCUACCAUGUGGCAACACUUGAUAAAUUCUUGUUGAAUGACAGUGCAGAGCUUGAUAAAGUUAAGAAUUAAGGUAAGUUUCUUGUUACAGAAGCAAGUGAAAUGAGGAGAGGAAUAAUGGUGUUAACAUUUAGAUCCUAACUUGUUAGAACUUGAUAGUGUCAGAUCUUUAUAAAAAUAUUUUUUAUAAAAACUAUUUUUGGAAAAAUAACAUCAUAAACAAUGAAUGCUUGGCUCUUAUGAUACACUUAUCAUCUUAAAACAAAUAAAUUAUAGCCCCCCCCAAAACCAAUUCUAGCCAUGAUAAAGAACUUUUAUGAAUUCCUAUUUUGAAGGAGGUCAAGCAAGUUACACAAGUUUCUUCCGGCAGCAGGAUAGUUUACAGGAUUCAAAUUAUCUGAUAAUAGAUUCUUUACUUAAAAAGUUCUAUUAAAAAAUUCUAAAAGGGAGACAACUUUUAGAAGUUUUAUAGAGUUACACCAGAGUGAGCUCUGAGCUUCCCUGGAUAAAAUUCCUUACAUACUUUCCUCUCUAGAUGCAGAAUAGAUGGCUAGGGGAAAUGACUAUAUUCAAUGGAUUUUGUUUAUCAGAGACCAUAGAUUGUAGUUUAUGGGUCUUUUCAUCGAAGUUGUCAAUGUUCUGUGUAUAACACUGUUACAGCAGUUUCCUGAACAGUUCUUUACAAUUAAGUUGUCUUGAUCUCUGAGGGACUGCAGUUGGAAGAGCAGAGAAGGUAAUUUGGCUUUCGAUCACCACAGUUUUCCAAAUGGGUAAUUCUUAGAAUGGGAUUGUCAAUGAUUCUGGUUGACUUCAGUUAAUAUUAGAUUCUUCAUUAGGGUUGACAGGAUCUGCUUUGGGAACAGGGUAAGAAAGUCUAUGGGGAGACAAUGUGAAUAAAAAAGAAAUCCAAUAUUCUCUGUUUGGCAUAUGGAUGGUUUCCAAAACCUAUCCCUUUUAUGCCUUAUCCCUGUUAAAAGAUUAUAGUUAAUAAGCACUAAUAAGAAGGUAAGCAGUUUAAAAGGGUAGAAGUUGAUAUCAGCAAAAAAUUUACCAAAAUAUACCAAAAUGAUAAAAUAGUAAAAUAAUUGUUGUUGAUUGAGUGAAAAAGACCAAUAUAAUGAAUAUGAUCAGCUUCGAAAUCAUGAGAAAGAAUAAAAUGAUUAGCCCAAGCAGGUAGGGGCAAGUUUCCUGGGGCUAAGGUGGCUGCUUAACAGGUCUCUAGAGUCUAGGUUUGUCUGUCAGGGAUCAGCAUAGACAUUAACAACUAUAAUAAAGUUUGGGCUAAUGAGAAAACAGCGGCUUUAGUUGCUUUCCUUAGAGCUUUAAGCCUUAAGAACCAAUGCUUAGCUCAGCAGUGUCAAUAUGCCUUUUAAAAAGUAGCCAUUUGCACAAGUUGAAUCUGACAUUUUAUGUGUUUUAUAGCAGACCAUAAAUACUUUUAACUUUAUAAAUAAUAAAACUAUGAAUGGGAUAAAUACUCAAUAGCAUUAUUAAUGGGUUUUCAACCUAGGGACCAUGAGUGACAACUUGCCUAUAAAGCAGUUAUAUAUAGUUUUUGUUUAGUUUAAACUGUGGUUCUAUUUGUUUACACAUUAAGUUUGCCAACCUCAAAAUUAUAACAUUUUGAUUAUUUCCUCUUAAUUUAUGAAAAAAAUUGCUGAGCUUACAUUUAAGUCAACAUUACCUGGAAUCAGUAGAAUGGGAAUUACAUUUCUUCAUUCCUCUUUGGGAAUAUUUGCCACCUGGCACUGAUAUAAUGAAUUCAUAUACAAUUCAUAGAUUGGGGAUUGGACGAACUUAUGAAGCCCUUUAUUCAAUACUCUAUGAAGAAACUGAGGUCUGACAAGUGUGACCUGAAGCCAUUGCCUUGUGUAUUUUAAACCUUUCAAUUUGAAGUGGAUUAUGGGAGACAACUGGGAGCAUCCAGACUCAAGAGCUGUGUGGAGGGAUCUUUGCUGUGAUCCCUCUGACAACACAGGUAAUCACUCAUAAAGAAAACCACCUCACAAAUAGAACUCACCUUUUUGGCCUCAGUUGGAUAGCUGGAGUAAAAAUCUUUGUCUGGUACCACUGUAAAUGUUCCAACAAUAUGCCCAAAUAAAUCAUUUAAUUGAACAUGA